rnacentral:rRNA from 1 species
AUUGAACGCUGGCGGCAUGCCUUACACAUGCAAGUCGAACGGCAGCACGGGUGCUUGCACCUGGUGGCGAGUGGCGAACGGGUGAGUAAUACAUCGGAACGUACCUUAUCGUGGGGGAUAACGCAGCGAAAGCUGUGCUAAUACCGCAUACGCCCUGAGGGGGAAAGCGGGGGAUCGCAAGACCUCGCGCGAUUAGAGCGGCCGAUGCCUAAUUAGCUAGUUGGUGGGGUAAAAGCCCACCAAGGCGACGAUCAGUAGCUGGUCUGAGAGGACGAUCAGCCACACUGGGACUGAGACACGGCCAGACUCCUACGGGAGGCAGCAGUGGGGAAUUUUGGACAAUGGGGGCAACCCUGAUCCAGCAAUGCCGCGUGAGUGAAGAAGGCCUUCGGGUUGUAAAGCUCUUUUGUCAGGGAAGAAACACCGGCUCUAACACAGUCCGGGAAUGACGGUACCUGAAGAAUAAGCACCGGCUAACUACGUGCCAGCAGCCGCGGUAA